rnacentral:rRNA from 1 species
ACAGACAGCCAGGAUGUUGGCUUAGAAGCAGCCAUCAUUUAAAGAAAGCGUAAUAGCUCACUGGUCGAGUCGGCCUGCGCGGAAGAUGUAACGGGGCUAAACCAUGCACCGAAGCUGCGGCAGCGACGCUUAGGCGUUGUUGGGUAGGGGAGCGUUCUGUAAGCCUGCGAAGGUGGCCUGUGAGGGCUGCUGGAGGUAUCAGAAGUGCGAAUGCUGACAUAAGUAACGAUAAAGCGGGUGAAAAGCCCGCUCGCCGGAAGAC